GGGGACGUAAUGGAAUCGACAGGAAUGACUUUCGAUUAGUAAGCAUGCCGGAGCAACAUUGCUCACUCCGUUAAAAAAUGGGAAUGAACAUUUUAUAUGGCAACACAAAUUAUGCCAUUGCUGCCUAAUUCUAGGAAUUAGAAGCAUUUAUGCCUCUUGCUUGAUGCCUAAUACACAGCAGGACCGCAUAUCAACAACUUGUAGGCUGGCUGAAAGGAGUAUCUCCUCCGGACAGUAAGAUUUCAGAGGUUAAGGUAGAAGGUGGUUGGUUUGCAUACCUUCCUUUUACUCGAAAAUUCAAGUGUAAACUAAGCAUGUAGAAAGCUCUUUGAUGCUUUCGCUGGACGCGAGUUCGACUCUCGCCGUCUCCACA
rnacentral:tmRNA from 1 species